AAGGGAUUAGCUCAGUUGGUAGAGUAUUUGUUUUACACACAAAAUGUCAAAAGUUCAAAUCUUUUAUCCCUUA
rnacentral:tRNA from 1 species